rnacentral:ncRNA from 1 species
GGGGAGUUUGGUUGCAAAGCUAAAGUUUAAAGGAACUGGUGGAAGGACACUACUGGGAGUGGAGCCUGAGGCUCAAUCAAACUAAACACAGGAAAUUUUACACGGCCCAGACACGGACAUGGUUGGAAGAUUGAGAGCUCCUUCUUACUUCAGUCCCCUCAUCUGUUAAAUGGGGAGUCGUUACCUGUUCUUCCUCCUACUUAGACUGCAAGCCCCAUAUGGGAUCUUUCAUUCAAUCCUAUUUAUUGAGCACUUACUGUGUGCAGAGCACUGUACUAAACUCUUGGGAGAAUACACUCUAACUAUAAACAGACACAUUCCCUGACUACAAUGAGCUUAUAAUCUAGAGGGGGAGGAAGACAUUAAAAUAAAUUAAAUUACAGAUAUGUACAUAAGUACUUGUAUCUACCCCAGCGUUUAGAACAGCGCGCGACACAUAGUAACCGCUUAAAUGCCACAAUUAUUAUUUAUUCAUUCAUUCAAUAGUAUUUAUUGAGUGCUUACUAUGUGCAGAGCACUGUACUAAGCGCUUGGAAUGUACAAAUCGGUAACAGAGACAGUCCCUGCCCUUUGACGGGCUUACAGUCUAAUCGGGGGAGACAGACACACAAGAACAAUGGCAAUAAUUCUGUGAGGGGUGUUGCAAAGCUAUUCUUGCUUGGAGGCGUUGAUUCGUCUGAUUAAUUCCAAUAACGAACAAGACUCUGGCCUGCUGACUAGUGGUUCGACCCGUGAGCAGUCGGCAUCCAACUUUUUAGAAUGAUCAGUGGUGUUGAGCUACCCGCGAUUGAGCAAUAACAGAGCUGUGAUGCACUCAGAUGUCCCGGGCUGCACACACGCUACACCGACUGGCUCCCUGUGUGUCUACUCUCUGCCAACAGGCGUGGGUAACCCGGUGAACCCCAUUUGCAGAAUGAAUCAGGGAAUGUAAAUGAGUAAUUCCCAGUAAGUGCCGGUCGUAAACUUGCUUUGAUGAAGCCCCUGCCCUUUGUACACACUGCCCGAAGCUAAUAGGAUUGGCUGGUUUAGCCAGGCCCUUAGAUUGGCCCCCAGGGUUGGCCACGGCCUUGGGGUAUUCUGAGAAGAAGCUUGACCUUGACUAGGUAGACGUAGGAAAAGUCAUAACCUGAGCUCUGUAGGUGAGUCUGGGGAAU